rnacentral:misc_RNA from 1 species
AAGUCGUAACAAGGUCUCCGUUGGUGAACCAGCGGAGGGAUCAUUACUGAUUAUUUUUUUCAAAACCGUGAAUUACCAUUGCUUUGCUUCGGCAAUAAAAUUAUACUUAUUAUAUAUCUAACUAUUUUAAUAAACAAAACUUUCAACAACGGAUCUCUUGGCUCUG